rnacentral:lncRNA from 1 species
GUAAUACACAAUAUGCAUGUAUUUGCACUUUAUUAUGUUCUACAUUACACAAUUAGAAACCUCUUAGACUCUUUAAUAAAUUCAUAUACAUUCUUUACAAUUCUUUCAUUUUCAACAUUACGUAAAGACUUGUCGCCGGAGGUUAAGAUGUUCAAAUUUAGUAGAGAGUUAUCUGGUAACCAAUGUAGAUUAUUAAAUAAUUUG